UAUUUUAAAGCAUAGAUUGAGAACUGAAGUACAAGAAAUUGGCGUCGAUAAUGCUCCAAUUUGUAGUUAGCUUGUGAGGUGACAUCUAAAUUUCAUCGUGGCACUAGGGUUUAGCUGAGGUUUAUCCUGCUUAUGCUUACGGACAUCAGAUUUAAAUGCAGUUCAGACACUCCACAGUCUAAACCUCUUCUCCCUCAAAUCAUUCUGAAAUUUUCUCACUUUCUUACCGAUCAUCUUCACCCAAUUCUUUCUUCUCUCAUCUAAAUUUCAUCGUAGCGAAACUAACCCUCCCUCCGCCAUUGCUGAGUACAGACGCCGAUUUGAUGCGUCGCCAGUGGCGGAUCCGGAUCCCACCCGGGAUACCCCUCAAAAUCAUCCGAGAUAUGCACAUUUUUGCCGUUUUAUUCUUCAAGCCCCCUUUACAAUCGAUUAAUUUCUCAUCUGUCUUCUUUCUGUUGUGAUUCAAAUUUCACCAGCUGUCUCUCUCGUUUUCCCUUCAAUCGCGCACAAAAGAACACGAGGUUCAACCUAUUUCCCUUUAAUCGAGUUGCAGGUGUGAUUACAGUGCAGCUAAUCAGUGGUGGUUUUAGGGGCUUAUGGUGGCUAUUCUCACCAGACGAAGGGGAGGUUGGUUGAUGGCCGCUUACCUGUAUGAUCGGAAACUCACGAUGCUAACAGGUUCACAAAUGAAACAGUAAAAACUCAUAAAUAAGGUACGCAUCAGUUAUACGAGUCAUAUGUAAUGUUGGUAUAUGAUGCUCUUAUUUUCUUUUCCCCAUUCAUACAAAAUUACAUAAUUAAAUACUAGUAAAACCAUUGAUAUGCACACAAAGUGUUUGCAUAAAUGCUUCAGUGACAUUCUGUCUUGUGAUUUCUGUUUCUUGUAAUUUUGAUUUCUGUGAUUUGGUAUUGUACAUUUGAAUGCUCUGUACAAAAUAUGUUUAUAAACUUGAUAUUAAUAGAUGAUUUUGUAUCUCUA